rnacentral:rRNA from 1 species
UACAGAGGUCUCAAGCGUUGUUCGGAUUCAUUGGGCGUAAAGGGCGCGUAGGCUGCGGGGCAAGUCGGGUGUGAAAUCUCAGAGCUCAACUCUGAAACUGCACUCGAUACUGCUUUGCUCGAGGACUGGAGAGGAGAUUGGAAUUCACGGUGUAGCAGUGAAAUGCGUAGAUAUCGUGAGGAAGACCAGUGGCGAAGGCGGAUCUCUGGACAGUUCCUGACGCUGAGGCGCGAAGGCCAGGGGAGCAAACGGG